rnacentral:lncRNA from 1 species
GGCAGAAAACUUGCCCCCCUCUGUACAGUUUCUGUUCUUGCGCCUUGUUAUGUUCCCAGUGUUACUUCCUCUCUGGAAGCAGAGAAACGAAGACGUGAUGGAGGACUGGUGGGCUAGCUGCUUUCUUCCUCCGCUGCUCGUGGUCUCUCUCCGUGGCCUCCUCUGUUUCUUUGAGAAGAAACAGAGGAACGAAAGUUUUUUUUCUAUUCUUCCCCCCCGGUUCUAUGUUUCUCCAGGGGCUUUUCGGUUAUGCCCCCUUUCUUCUCCCCCCCUGCGCUCUCU